rnacentral:rRNA from 1 species
AUGGCUCAGAUUGAACGCUGGCGGCAGGCCUAAUACAUGCAAGUCGAACGGUAACAUAGGAAAAGCUUGCUUUUCCUGAUGACGAGUGGCGGACGGGUGAGUAAAGUUUGGGAAGCUACCUGAUAGAGGGGGACAACAGUUGGAAACGACUGCUAAUACCGCAUACAGCCUGAGGGUGAAAGCAGCAAUGCGCUAUCAGAUGCGCCCAAAUGGGAUUAGCUAGUAGGUGAGGUAAAGGCUCACCU